AGAGCCAGGAGCUGGACUUUGAUGAUCCUUGUGAGUCCCUUCCAACUCAGCAUGUUCUGUGGUCUAUGAUUUUAUGUGAAGUAAUUUAGAAAAAUCUCAGUGACAUUUACCUAUGACUGUGGAUAUCCUCAUUGAGGUUAAGGAGAUGAUUCACAUCCAGGAGCAUUAGAGUUGGUGGUGUAACCCAGGUCCUGAUGAGAGUUUGCAGCUCUGCAGCUGACACCAAGACACUGCUGAUUGUACAGCUUCCUCCUGCUGGAAAUAAUUUCUGCUCUUGCUGCAAAUGAAAAAGAUUCUGCAUGUGUCUGGAAGACAUGUUCUCUUUUUUCUUUCUGCUAUUUGGGUGAUGUUUCUCAGUGCUUUGCAGUCAGGUUGCUAAUCCUUACCCAGCUCCAGGUUCUGCUAAAAGGUCUUUCCCAGUACCAGCAAAACCAAGGCUGCAAAGAACCUGGUUUGGAGGAAGAAGAGCCUGAGUGUGAUUCCUGCCCUCUCCAAAUCUGCUACGGAUCCAGGUAAGGAUAGAGAUGACACAAGACAUCUAUCACUCAUCUGAUCUACCACUUAACUCAAUUAAGAUGAUUGUCUUCCAACAAGAUCCAAGCAAGACAAGAACUGAGGCAGAGAGCCAUCGAACACUUACUGAUCCUGCAGUCGGGCCCGGCGAAGCCUGGAGCACACUCACAGCGGUACCAGUUCUCUCCAUCCACACAAGUGCCACUGUUGUAACUGCAGAGAAAAGGCAUUAUGACAGACAUUAAAAACUGCUACCGAUAAAAGGAACCCAGAAUUCUAAAACAACAACAAAAAAAAUCAAAGGAUAAACAUAGCAAACUUACCAAGGAUGAGGACUGCAGUCGUUUGUGUCUGCAAAGCAAAGACAGACAGCAUUAAACAUGCAGACUUUGGCUAAUACAGCUCUACUGGCAGUAAAGAAUGAUCAAACUUCCCUGAAUGCCCAAGAUACACUUAGCUCAACUUUUACAAAAAUAUGCUGAAAUUCUCUACUAAAUUGAUUCCAGGCUUGUACCACAAAAUUUGUUAACUACAUUGUGGAACACAUGUACACAGGAAGAGAUCCUUGUAAAGAAUCUAACGGGGGAAAAAAGUGGAAGCAGACAGAGCUGCUUGUAGAAAAAGAAUGCAGGAGAAAACAAGACAACAUCUGUCUCCACUUAGCUCAUUUGCAACUUUCUCAUGCCCAGGUCAAGGCUCUAUCACAUAAAGUCAUUAAAAACAAAGAUUCAGGUGAUGCUAAAGCCUACAUCAAACAAGCUUUCCCUUCUGGUUUCAAUCUUGACUCCAAGGGCGACAGGAUGAGCUCAUGUUCUCAUCAUGCAACACUCUGGAAGAGUUCAAGCAGAGCUGACUUACUCUGGGUACAUGUGGGUCCUUCCCAGCCCUCCUUGCAGACACAAGUGAAAGAGUCCCCGCUGACUACACAGGUACCACCGUUGUGACAGGGGUUUGGCAGGCAGCUGCUGUUCCUCGCUGUAACACAAACAACGUUUGCCGCUCAGUGGUUAGAAAGCCCUCAAGUCUGAGCCAAGAGGAACAGCUGAGGUCAGAGCUGCAGCGCUGCAUCUGCUUCCUGGUGAUUAUGCAGGGUAUUUACCUAUGUUACAAGUAGCUCCUUCCCAUCCCGCAGGACACAUGCACUUGAAAGUGUCCCCCUCGUCAUAGCACGUCCCCCCGUUGUUGCACGUCGCCUCAUCACACUGGCUGUCACCUGUGGAAAACCCAAACUAUCCUUAAUACUGGUGCUCUCUUAUGGCAACAAGUUCAAGCAGCCUAUCAGAGCAUGCCUGUUAUGUUUUGGAAAUGCUGAACUUACGGGAGUGGCAAGUUUUUCCUUUCCACCCAUUUUUACAUUCACAGAAGAAGUCGUUGACCAAGUCUCGGCAAGUUCCUCCGUUGUGGCAAGGGUUUUUACUGCAGUCAUUAAUAUCUGGAUAUGUUAAGGAGAGAAAACAGGCUCAGUGGUGUUUACAGAAUUGACAAACACAGUGCUUGAAAGGAGCAUAACCCAUCCCCAAUUUUGGCCUGUGUUUCAAUCGUGGAUUAAAUGCUUAAGUCAGUAUUUUAAAGCUUUAGGCACUGUCGCAGAGAUGAAGACUGUUUCACCACAUUCCUCCAGUUUGUUUUCAUUUUGUUUGUAAUCUUGUUUCAGAAACAAGCAGUGAAAAGGCCUAUUACAUAAACUGCCCUGUUAGUCAGGGGAAGGGAGCAGAGUGCUCUUCUGCUCCCGAGACUGACAAAAUACAAGUGUGACAUGCAGACAGCCAUUCCUAAAGUGGCAUCUACUAAUGCAAGGGGUUUCUUCCUGGAAGUUAUCCAAAGGAUAGAGCAGGAAACUGAACAGUGAGAGAGCCAGGUUCUAAUUCCAGUCCAAUUUUGUAAUUGGGCUUUAGUUCCAAUACAAAAGCUUGGGACUCGGUGGAAGUACCUGGUCCUCCAUGGCCUUUGAAGCAGAGUUUGUUGACACUGGUCACUGUAAUCUUAAAGACAGUGCCAGCCAGUGUUCUCCCAAGAGAUCUUUCUGUGUGCUGAAGGAUGAAUAACUUACUCGUUUCACAAUACGUUCCUUCCCAUCCAUCGCUACAAAUACAUUUGUAGGAGUUGAUGCCAUCAAUGCAAGUGCCACCAUUUUUACAGGGGUUGCUCUCACAGUCAUUGAUAUCUGCAACAGUUGGGAAGAGAAAAGAGGAUUAAAAAAAGAGGGGAAAAAAAUCAAACUAAAAGUACAGCUACUAGGAGUCAUCAUCUUAUUACAGACUGUUUGGUGCUACUUCCAUUUCUAAUACCCUUUGGAGAGGAAUGGUUAUAAGCAAGAUGAAAAAAGGGUAAAAAACUGUGUAAGGUGAUGAACCUGUCACUAUUAAAACCAGAAAAAAUAUCAGGAGUCCUUAAGAUCCACGUUAAAACCUACUAUUAACUCCCUCAGACCUUGUAUACAUAAGGUUUUUAAAAACAUACGAUUCAAGGCCACAGGGUUCAUUACUAUGAACUUCCCCCAAGGCCUAGCAAAUUCCACUCUGCCUCGCCCAUGAGGGAUAUGAAAACUUACAGCAGUUCCAAGGUUCACUGAGUUUCAAUGAAGAAACCUUAAAGGGGUUUGGGAGGGAAGGAUGGAACCUUUUUCCCGUAAGAGUGGGGGACAGUAAAAUAUAUUCUGUUUUUUGCUCUUACUCUCAUGACAGUAGGUGCCAGUGAAUCCUUUGUUGCAUUCACAGGUGAAUUUCCCACCCGCUUGGCUCUUGCACUUCCCGUGAGGACCACAGACAUUGGAAGAGAUGUAGCGAACCCCCUCGGGUGUGCUGUUGGAAGCCACUGCCACGGUGCAACUGUCAAUUACUGCAGAAAAGCAGAGACCAGCAUGAGAAUUGCCCAUGUGACCUGAUUCCUUAAGAACAACAUUUUCACUUCCAGCCAUGGAUGUUUAGAAGACACUCGUGCCAUAGAAUCAUUUUGGUUGGAAAAGACCUUUAAGAUCAUCGAGUGAAACCAUGAACAUAUGACUGGAAAUAUGUUUGCUGCUUUAAAAUAACAGGACUCUGCCAACUGUGCAUAAAAUAACCACAGCAUCUUAUCUGAUGAUUGCUGGACCACAUCCAUGGCCUGGAAUAAAUGCAUCAGGCUGUUUGCUA